CCAAGGAGCCCAACAUCUGCGCGAGUCGCUCGGUCUUGCUUAGGCCUGAGAGGCGAAAUAAACAUAAUGGUAUGAUGCUGGAUACCCUCCGGGGUCCCGGUCGCAAUACCAACCUGCUUAAUCUGCCUUUUGACAGACAAGCGGAGUUUGAGCGUAGAUGUUGGUACCCGAAAGAUGGUGAACUAUACUUGGGCAGGACGAAGCCAGAGGAAACUCUGGUGGAGGUCCGUAGCGAUUCUGACGUGCAAAUCGAUCGUCAGACCUGAGUAUAGGGGCGAAAGACUAAUCGAACCAUC
rnacentral:rRNA from 1 species